UGAAAAACUGGCGGCACGCUACUUGACCCUACGGUCCCCUACGAUUUAUUUUUUUCAUGAUUUUCGUCAGACCCCUUUUUCCCCUAUGGUUUUACGAUGACUUUGAGGUGAAUUUUUGAUCAGCUGAUCAGCUAAAUUGACAGAUGAGUGGUCAUUUGUAUGUUUAUGUUUACGUUCGGACCUAAUCACCUCCGGAAGUUCCAUAGUCUAGUUUCUUGAAAUGAUGAGCCUCCAGCGGAGAAACCCGGAGACUCCGGAAGGAGUAGAUGGAUACAGAACCGGAACAGAAUGAAGCCGGUGAGCCGCCGGUAGAGGAGUUUGAAACAGUGGCUGCUGAAGUGAAAUAUGAAGCUGCUCCCGAUACAGCUGCAAAACUCAAUCAACAAACUGUUCAAAUAUUCUGAAUGAGUGCUGAAUACCAAGGCAGUAAUAUGAUUGACAAUGGUAGUGAUCAACAUUCCACAAACCCGCGAAAAUCAACCAACUGCCCAACUUGAAAAGCAGCCACCAAGAGCAGCUAACUCGGAAGCCCACGACGAGCCCCACAAUCGGAAGUUUCACCACGCUUAAGAGAUUCCGGCCAUCAAUACAUACUACGGCUGUGAUGGCACUUGCCAAAAGAAUGCCUUCAACUCGUGCUCCUCCUGCCAAAUUCUGCUUAGAGAACCGGCAACGAAGCUAAAUCGUUUUCGCCCUUUCAUUGCCUAGCAGACUCGAAACCCACUGAUCCCGAAAUCAUCGGAAAUACAUCACGAGACACUUUUCGAUGCUGGACAAGUUGAGGAUUAGUAGAAACCAUUCAAUGUCAUACUGAAACCGAAAUCCCUAGAUGAAUCAUUCCGUUCGUCGAGCAAGAUUACAACGGACGGAGUGUACCGCAUCAUUAAGAAAAGGCGAAACAAACUUUAACAGGAUCUUUGGUAAAUAAUGUUCGAACAUGAACCUGUAGUGAAGACUAAAUGACUUAAGCAUUCUACAUAAAGAACGUAGGAGCAUGUAAGGUUAAGAAGACAAGAUCCUUCAUCAAUUUUUGAAUGUAUCUGUUCUAAAGUAAUGCAUAAAACCUGUUGUUAAAAUUA